rnacentral:rRNA from 1 species
AGUGAACCCUGGCGGUAGGCCUAACACAUGCAAGUCGAACGGCAGCACAGGAGAGCUUGCUCUCUGGGUGGCGAGUGGCGGACGGGUGAGGAAUACAUCGGAAUCUACUCUGUCGUGGGGGAUAACGUAGGGAAACUUACGCUAAUACCGCAUACGACCUACGGGGGAAAGCAGGGGACCCUCGGGCCUUGCGCGAUUGAAUGAGCCGAUGUCGGAUUAGCUAGUUGGCGGGGUAAAGGCCCACCAAGGCGACGAUCCGUAGCUGGUCUGAGAGGAUGAUCAGCCACACUGGAACUGAGACACGGUCCAGACUCCUACGGGAGGCAGCAGUGGGGAAUAUUGGACAAUGGGCGCAAGCCUGAUCCAGCCAUACCGCGUGGGUGAAGAAGGCCUUCGGGUUGUAAAGCCCUUUUGUUGGGAAAGAAAUCCAGCUGGCUAAUACCCGGUUGGGAUGACGGUACCCAAAGAAUAAGCACCGGCUAACUUCGUGCCAGCCGCCGCGGUAA